rnacentral:rRNA from 1 species
CCUACGGGGGGCAGCAGUGAGGAAUAUUGGUCAAUGGGCGCGAGCCUGAACCAGCCAAGUAGCGUGAAGGAUGACUGCCCUACGGGUUGUAAACUUCUUUUAUAAAGGAAUAAAGUGAGGCACGUGUGCCUUUUUGUAUGUACUUUAUGAAUAAGGAUCGGCUAACUCCGUGCCAGCAGCCGCGGUAAUACGGAGGAUCCGAGCGUUAUCCGGAUUUAUUGGGUUUAAAGGGAGCGUAGAUGGGUUGUUAAGUCAGUUGUGAAAGUUUGCGGCUCAACCCCGGCCCGCCGUUGAAACUGGCAGUCUCGAGUUGGAGAGAAGUAUGCGGAAUGCGCGGUGUAGCGGUGAAAUGCAUAGAUAUCGCGCAGAACUCCGAUUGCGAAGGCAGCAUGCCGGCUCCACACUGACGCUGAGGCACGAAAGCGUGGGUAUCGAACAGGAUUAGAUACCCGGGUAGUC